rnacentral:lncRNA from 1 species
CAAGGCGGAGAGAAUUACUUAAUGGAAAAAUUAGACAUCCACCCAUUCGUAGAAAUUACUACAAAGGAAACCCAUACGGGUUCCUCGAAAGAAAAGCCUCGCAGUU